rnacentral:rRNA from 1 species
GGGAAUUUUGCCCAAUGGACGAAAGUCUGAGGCAGCAACUCCGCGUGAGGGAUGAAGGCUCUAGGGUCGUAAACCUCUUUUCUCAGGGAAGAUCCAAGACGGUACCUGAGGAAUAAGCCACGGCUAACUACGUGCCAGCAGCCGCGGUAAUACGUAGGUGGCAAGCGUUGUCCGGAUUUACUGGGCGUAAAGAGCGCGCAGGCGGCUGGCCAAGUCCGAUGUGAAAUCUUCCGGCUUAACUGGGAAACUGCAUCGGAAACUGGUCGGCUUGAAGGUGGGAGAGGGUAGUGGAAUUCCCGGUGUAGUGGUGAAAUGCGUAGAUAUCGGGAGGAACACCAGUGGCGAAGGCGACUACCUGGCCCAUUCUUGACGCUGAGGCGCGAAAGCUAGGGGAGC